GACGAACGCUGGCGGCGUGCUUAACACAUGCAAGUCGAACGAAAAUACCAAGCUUGCUUGGUUGAUUAGUGGCGAACGGGUGAGUAACACGUGAGUAACCUGCCCCUUACUUUCCUGGAUAACUGCUCGAAAGGGUAGCUAAUACGGGAUAUUCUGACCAGCCUGCAUGGGUUGGUUUGGAAAGGUUGUUUUUCUGGUAAGGGAUGGGCUCGCGGCCUAUCAGCUUGUUGGUGGGGUGAUGGCCUACCAAGGCUUUGACGGUUAGCCGGCCUGAGAGGGUGGACGGUCAGACUGGGAAUGAGAUACGGCCCAGAAUCGUACGGGAGGCAGCAGUAGGGAAUACUGCACAAUGGGCGCAAGCCUGAUGCAGCGACGCCGCGUGAGGGAUGAAGGCCUUCGGGUUGUAAACCUCUUUCGUCAGGGAAGAAGGCACUGCUUUUUUGGUGGUGUUGAGGGUACCUGGAUAAGAAGCGCCGGCUAACUACGUG
rnacentral:rRNA from 1 species